rnacentral:snRNA from 1 species
GCGCUCACUUUGGCAGUUCAUAUACUAAAAUUGGAAAAAUACAGAAAUUAGCAUGGCCCCUGUACAAGAAUAACACAGAAAUUUGUGAAGCAUUCCAUAUUUUU